GGAGAAGUAGCUUAGUGGUAGAGCCUCAGCCUCGCAUGCGAGAGGACAUGGGUUAGAUUCCCGGCUGCUUCC
rnacentral:tRNA from 1 species